GAUGAACGCUGGCGGCGUGCCUAAUACAUGCAAGUCGAGCGAGGUAGCUUGCUACCUAGCGGCGAACGGGUGAGUAACACGUAGGUAACCUGCCUUUGAGACUGGGAUACCCGAGGGAAACUUCGGCUAAUACCGGAUAACAACGGGGAUGGCAUCAUCUCCGCUUGAAAGGUGCGUUUGCACCACUCUUAGAUGGACCUGCGGCACAUUAGCUAGUUGGUGAGAUAACAGCCCACCAAGGCGAGGAUGUGUAGCCGACCUGAGAGGGUAAACGGCCACAAUGGGAUUGAGACACGGCCCAUACUCC
rnacentral:rRNA from 1 species